rnacentral:rRNA from 1 species
GACGAACGCUGGCGGCGUGCCUAAUACAUGCAAGUAGAACGCUGAAGCGAGUCGCUUGAUCUUCUUGGAUGAGUUGCGAACGGGUGAGUAACGCUUAGGUAUCCUCCUUGGUAGCGGUGGAUAACUAUUGGUAACGAUAGCUAUUUCCGCAUAAAUUGCAUUGUCGCAUGAUAAUCCAUUUAACGGUGCAAAUGCAUCACUCCCACAUGGACCUUCGUUGUAUUAGCUAGUUGGUGGGGUAACGGCUCACCAAGGCGACGAGACAUAGCCGACCGGAGAGGGGGAGCGGCCACACUGGGACGGAGACACGGCCCAGACUGCUACGGGAGGCAGCAGUAGGGAAUCGGCGGCAAGGGACGGAAGUCUGAGCGAGAAACGCCGCGUGAGUGAAGAAGGAUGUCGGAUCGGAAAGCACGGUCGUAAGAGAAGAACGAGUGUGAGAGAGGAAAGUACACAAUGUGACGGUAUCUGAACAGAAAGGGACGGCUAACUACGUG